GAUGAACGCUGGCGGCGUGCCUAAUACAUGCAAGUCGAGCGAACAGACGAGGAGCUUGCUCCUCUGACGUUAGCGGCGGACGGGUGAGUAACACGUGGAUAACCUACAUAUAAGACUGGGAUAACUUCGGGAAACCGGAGCUAAUACCGGAUAAUAUAUUGAACCGCAUGGUUCAAUAGUGAAAGACGGUUUUGCUGUAACUUAUAGAUGGAUCCGCGCCGCAUUAGCUAGUUGGUAAGGUAACGGCUUACCAAGGCAACGAUGCGUAGCCGACCUGAGAGGGUGAUCGGCCACACUGGAACUGAGACACGGUCCAGACUCCUACGGGAGGCAGCAGUAGGGAAUCUUCCGCAAUGGGCGAAAGCCUGACGGAGCAACGCCGCGUGAGUGAUGAAGGUCUUCGGAUCGUAAAACUCUGUUAUUAGGGAAGAACAAAUGUGUAAGUAACUAUGCACGUCUUGACGGUACCUAAUCAGAAAGCCACGGCUAACUACGUG
rnacentral:rRNA from 1 species